UACGUAGGGGGCAAGCGUUAUCCGGAAUAACUGGGCGUAAAGGGUGCGCAGGUGGUUUAACAAGUUAGUGGUGAAAGGCAUAGGCUCAACCAAUGUAAGCCAUUAAAACUGUUUAACUUGAGUGCAGGAGAGGAAAGUGGAAUUCCUAGUGUAGCGGUGAAAUGCGUAGAUAUUAGGAGGAAUACCAGUGGCGAAGGCGACUUUCUGGACUGCAACUGACACUGAGGCACGAAAGCGUGGGGAGC
rnacentral:rRNA from 1 species